rnacentral:sRNA from 1 species
UGCCUAAACUCUAUUUAAUAGGGCAUGGCACAAAAACCCAGUAAGAGAUAUUAAGCUCGUCGUCAGAGCACUCUUACUGGGUCAUAACUCGAAAGAGUUAUGGGUAGCCGAAAGGCUAUC